rnacentral:rRNA from 1 species
AUACGUAGGGGGCAAGCGUUGUCCGGAAUGAUUGGGCGUAAAGGGCGCGUAGGCGGCCUGGUAAGUCUGGAGUGAAAGUCCUGCUUUUAAGGUGGGAAUUGCUUUGGAUACUGUCGGGCUUGAGUGCAGGAGAGGUAAGUGGAAUUCCCGGUGUAGCGGUGAAAUGCGUAGAGAUCGGGAGGAACACCAGUGGCGAAGGCGACUUACUGGACUGUAACUGACGCUGAGGCGCGAAAGUGUGGGGAGCAAACAGGAUUAGAUACCCUGGUAGUCCACACUGUAAACGAUGAAUGCUAGGUGUAGGGGGUAUCGACCCCUUCUGUGCCGGAGUUAACACAAUAAGCAUUCCGCCUGGGGAGUACGGCCGCAAGGUUGAA